rnacentral:rRNA from 1 species
CGGCGAGUGAAGCGGCAACAGCUCAAAUUUGAAAUCUGGCUUCGGCCCGAGUUGUAAUUUGCAGAGGAUGUUUAUGGUGCGGUACCUUCCGAGUUCCCUGGAACGGGACGCCACAGAGGGUGAGAGCCCCGUCUGGUUGGAUACCAAACCUGUGUUAAACUCCUUCAACGAGUCGAGUAGUUUGGGAAUGCUGCUCUAAAUGGGAGGUAAAUCUCUUCUAAAGCUAAAUACCGGCCAGAGACCGAUAGCGCACAAGUAGAGUGAUCGAAAGAUGAAAAGCACCUUGAAAAGGGGGUUAAACAGUACGUGAAAUUGUUGAAAGGGAAGCGUUUAUGACCAGACUUGUGUCGUGUGGCUCAUCCGAGGUUCUCCCCGGUGCACUCCACACGGCUCAGGCCAACAUCGGUUCUCGUUGGGGGAUAAGAACAGUAGGAACGUGGCCCCCUUCGGGGGGUGUUAUAGCCUAUUGUACGAUACUCUGACGGGGACCGAGGACCGCGCUUCGGCUAGGAUGUUGGCGUAAUGGUCAUUAGCGACCCGUCUUGAAACACGGACCAAGGAGUCGUCCAUUAGAGCGAGCGUUUGGGUGUAAAACCCGCACGCGUAAUGAAAGUGAAAUUAGGUGAGAGCUUCGGCGCAUCAUCGACCGAUCCUGAAGUUUACGGAUGGAUUUGAGUAAGAGUUUUAACGGACGGACCCGAAAGACAGUGAACUAUGCUUGAAUAGGGUGAAGCCAGAGGAAACUCUGGUGGAGGCUCGCAGCGGUUCUGACGUGCAAAUCGAUCGUCAAAUUUGAGCAUGGGGGCGAAAGACUAAUCGAACUGUCUAGUAGCUGGUUACCGCCGAAGU